AAAUUAAAAAAAAAAAAAAAAAGCCUAAUAUAGCCAUCUGAGCUUGUCCCUCAAAAUAUUAUUCAAUAUUUACUAUGCCAAUAAAUCUGUCUGUGAGAAUCUAACCAAACAACAAAUAAGCCUGAACAAGAGAAGGCUAGGCCCAAAAAGAGGCUAGCGUAAUAAAAAUGGCAUUUAAAUCUUGUACCAUUUUAACUAACAUUUUUCACUCAAUGAAAUCUUCUAGGAAGGCAAUGGG
rnacentral:misc_RNA from 1 species